GACGAACGCUGGCGGCGUGCUUAACACAUGCAAGUCGAACGGAAAGGCCCUGCUUUUGUGGGGUGCUCGAGUGGCGAACGGGUGAGUAACACGUGAGUAACCUGCCCUUGACUUUGGGAUAACUUCAGGAAACUGGGGCUAAUACCGGAUAGGAGCUCCUGCUGCAUGGUGGGGGUUGGAAAGUUUCGGCGGUUGGGGAUGGACUCGCGGCUUAUCAGCUUGUUGGUGGGGUAGUGGCUUACCAAGGCUUUGACGGGUAGCCGGCCUGAGAGGGUGACCGGCCACAUUGGGACUGAGACACGGCCCAGACUCCUACGGGAGGCAGCAGUGGGGAAUAUUGCACAAUGGGCGGAAGCCUGAUGCAGCAACGCCGCGUGCGGGAUGACGGCCUUCGGGUUGUAAACCGCUUUCGCCUGUGACGAAGCGUGAGUGACGGUAAUGGGUAAAGAAGCACCGGCUAACUACGUGCCAGCAGCCGCGGUGAUACGUAGGGUGCGAGCGUUGUCCGGAUUUAUUGGGCGUAAAGGGCUCGUAGGUGGUUGAUCGCGUCGGAAGUGUAAUCUUGGGGCUUAACCCUGAGCGUGCUUUCGAUACGGGUUGACUUGAGGAAGGUAGGGGAGAAUGGAAUUCCUGGUGGAGCGGUGGAAUGCGCAGAUAUCAGGAGGAACACCAGUGGCGAAGGCGGUUCUCUGGGCCUUUCCUGACGCUGAGGAGCGAAAGCGUGGGGAGCGAACAGGCUUAGAUACCCUGGUAGUCCACGCUGUAAACGGUGGGUACUAGGUGUGGGGUCCAUUCCACGGGUUCCGUGCCGUAGCUAACGCUUUAAGUACCCCGCCUGGGGAGUACGGCCGCAAGGCUAAAACUCAAAGGAAUUGACGGGGCCCCGCACAAGCGGCGGAGCAUGCGGAUUAAUUCGAUGCAACGCGUAGAACCUUACCUGGGUUUGACAUGGAUCGGGAGUGCUCAGAGAUGGGUGUGCCUCUUUUGGGGUCGGUUCACAGGUGGUGCAUGGCUGUCGUCAGCUCGUGUCGUGAGAUGUUGGGUUAAGUCCCGCAACGAGCGCAACCCUUGUUCACUGUUGCCAGCACGUUAUGGUGGGGACUCAGUGGAGACCGCCGGGGUCAACUCGGAGGAAGGUGGGGAUGACGUCAAGUCAUCAUGCCCCUUAUGUCCAGGGCUUCACGCAUGCUACAAUGGCUGGUACAGAGAGUGGCGAGCCUGUGAGGGUGAGCGAAUCUCGGAAAGCCGGUCUCAGUUCGGAUUGGGGUCUGCAACUCGACCUCAUGAAGUCGGAGUCGCUAGUAAUCGCAGAUCAGCAACGCUGCGGUGAAUACGUUCCCGGGGCU
rnacentral:rRNA from 1 species